UUCGAACUGACGAGUCCCAAACGGGACAAAACGCACGUCCUAGAU
rnacentral:hammerhead_ribozyme from 1 species